rnacentral:rRNA from 1 species
AUGGCGCUCCCUGGGCUUGCUUUGCCUAAUUCUCAGAUCGUCCUGUCGGCAGCAUGCACGGGUCCGCAUGUAACAGUCGGACGACCUUCAAGGGCACGCUUCGUGUAUUCCUUGACGUCGGUGAACCGUAAGCUCAUCGUAAGCUCGUCCUCUAUCAAUAAUCCCUACACGACAGCUGGCGGCAUGGUAUGUACGCAACAAGUGGCGGCAGGGGAAGACGAGCAUGAGCUAAAGCUCCUAGGGACAUGGAGGGGCCCUUUCGCGAUGCGAGUGAGGCUGGCGCUCAACUUCAAGGGCCUGAGCUACGAGUACCAGGAAGAGGACCUUGCAAAUAAGAGUGACCUUCUCCUCGUGUCAAACCCGGUGAACAAGAAGGUGCCCGUGCUCAUCCACAAUGGUAUGCCCAUAUGCGAGUCACUCGCUAUCUUGGAGUACAUCGAUGAGGUCUACCAUGGGAUAGGACCCUCUCUCCUCCCCGCCCACCCCUACCAACGCGCUAGGGCUCGAUUCUGGGCCACCUACAUUGACAACAAGCUAGUCGCGCCAUGGUGGAAGAUGUUUGUGGGCAAGACAGACAAGGAGAAAGAUGAAGGGACAAAGCAAACGCUAGCGGCGGUGGAUAUGCUAGAGAGGGCCUUGAGGGAAUGCUCCAAGGGGAAGCCGUUCUUUGGAGGAGACAACGUCGGAUAUGUUGAUGUUGUGUUGGGUGGUAUGGUUGCAAGGAUGCAAGGAACCGAGGCGCUUUGUGGUGUGGAGCUUCUACACGCCACCAAGACUCCGCUUCUGCUGGCAUGGAUGGAGCGCUUUGGCGAAAUGGAACCCGCCAAGGUGGUUCUGCCAAAAGUCGAUAGGCUGGUUGAGUUUGCAAAGAUGAAACGUGCCCAAAGGGCUCUAAUCUAA